rnacentral:rRNA from 1 species
GCUUGCUCCCUGAUGUUAGCGGCGGACGGGUGAGUAACACGUGGGUAACCUGCCUGUAAGACUGGGAUAACUCCGGGAAACCGGGGCUAAUACCGGAUGCUUGUUUGAACCGCAUGGUUCAAACAUAAAAGGUGGCUUCGGCUACCACUUACAGAUGGACCCGCGGCGCAUUAGCUAGUUGGUGAGGUAAUGGCUCACCAAGGCGACGAUGCGUAGCCGACCUGAGAGGGUGAUCGGCCACACUGGGACUGAGACACGGCCCAGACUCCUACGGGAGGCAGCAGUAGGGAAUCUUCCGCAAUGGACGAAAGUCUGACGGAGCAACGCCGCGUGAGUGAUGAAGGUUUUCGGAUCGUAAAGCUCUGUUGUUAGGGAAGAACAAGUACCGUUCGAAUAGGGCGGUACCUUGACGGUACCUAACCAGAAAGCCACGGCUAACUACGUGCCAGCAGCCGCGGUAAUACGUAGGUGGCAAGCGUUGUCCGGAAUUAUUGGGCGUAAAGGGCUCGCAGGCGGUUUCUUAAGUCUGAUGUGAAAGCCCCCGGCUCAACCGGGGAGGGUCAUUGGAAACUGGGGAACUUGAGUGCAGAAGAGGAGAGUGGAAUUCCACGUGUAGCGGUGAAAUGCGUAGAGAUGUGGAGGAACA